rnacentral:lncRNA from 1 species
CCGACGAUUGAUGCUGGGGCCGAUGAACGAGUUUUUCAAUUGGCCAUUGGAGGCUCGUGAUGCAGUCUGGAAGAUGUUCCUGGUAAGUCAAAGAUAUUUAAUUUUUAAAUUCGUGAUAGGUUUGUAUUCUAUUUAUUAAUACACGGUUGCUUCUACUUGCAGAGGUACUAUCAAUUCGAGACUCCUCAGGAUAAGAAAGCUGGCCAUCGGACCUUCGAGAAGG